rnacentral:rRNA from 1 species
GAGCGGCGAACGGGUGAGUAACACGUGAGCAACCUACCCUCAACUUCGGGAUAAGCCUCGGAAACGGGGUCUAAUACCGGAUAUCAUCUCGCGCUUCAUGGUGUGGGGUUGAAAGUUCUGGCGGUUGGGGAUGGGCUCGCGGCCUAUCAGCUUGUUGGUGGGGUAAUGGCCUACCAAGGCGUCGACGGGUAGCCGGCCUGAGAGGGCGACCGGCCACACUGGGACUGAGACACGGCCCAGACUCCUACGGGAGGCAGCAGUGGGGAAUAUUGCGCAAUGGACGGAAGUCUGACGCAGCAACGCCGCGUGAGGGAUGACGGCCUUCGGGUUGUAAACCUCUUUCAGCAGGGACGAAGCGAGAGUGACGGUACCUGCAGAAGAAGGACCGGCCAACUACGUGCCAGCAGCCGCGGUAAUACGUAGGGUCCGAGCGUUGUCCGGAAUUAUUGGGCGUAAAGGGCUCGUAGGCGGUUCGUCGCGUCGGGAGUGAAAACUCGGAGCUUAACUCCGAGCCUGCUUCCGAUACGGGCAGACUAGAGGUAGGCAGGGGAGAGCGGAACUNCU